rnacentral:rRNA from 1 species
CGGGGUGAGUAACGCGUGGAUAACCUGCCUCACACUGGGGGAUAACAGUUAGAGAUGGCUGCUAAUACCGCAUAAGCGCACAGUACCGCAUGGUACGGUGUGAAAAACCCAGGUGGUGUGAGAUGGAUCCGCGUCUGAUUAGCCAGUUGGCGGGGUAACGGCCCACCAAAGCGACGAUCAGUAGCCGACCUGAGAGGGUGACCGGCCACAUUGGGACUGAGACACGGCCCAA